UAAUGACAGACAGCCUGUUACAUGUGGCUUUUUUUUUUUCCUUUAUUCUUUUUUCCUUUUUCUUUUUUCUUCUUUUAUUCAUUUAUUCCUUUUUUUUUUUUUCUUUUUCUCUUCUCCAGCUGAAGUAGAACAGAAAGGGAUGAGACUGCUACCCCCUUUGGGCUAAAACAUCUCUGACAGGUGAAAAUUGCAGCGUCCCAAAGGGGAUUAGCGCAGCAUUAACUUACUUGUCAAAUACAAAUGUCAGGUUAAUUUUGUUCCUAGCUCGAUAUUCAGAAAAUACACGCUUUUCUUCCAACACCUCUAGAAAGGUUCCUCUGUGCGUAUUUUAAUUACAGUGGAAAUGGAUCUAGCUGUAUCCUGGAGUGCAUGUGUGUCUAUGAGGUCCUCUUAAAUAAAUAUCUUCUAUUCAACACCUUAUUUACAGACUUGAAGGCUUGCAAGAACCACAUCAGUUCCUAGCCUACCUGUUUAGAAAACACAGGCCUGAAAACUUCACCAACAAAUUUUCUUCUUGUUUGCAGCCCAGGAUUGCUCGUCGCUCAGGCCAGGAACAUCUUCUUUGUGAUCUGCAGCUCCUCACACCCAGGACAUGCUCAAAUCCUGCCAGUUAUUUCUGCAGAACACCUCCUGGAUCCUCGAUCAAGCCAUCUUCAUCCUGUAUCUCAAUUACUGAAGCACCCUGCCUUUAUUCAGGCCCUGUACAAAGAACAUUUUCCCUCUCCAUCACCUGAACAGUCAAAGCUCGUGAUAUUUUUCCUUCCUUAACCUGUGAAAUGGGAAAAUUGAGGAGGGAAAGGAGUUUUCCUGGGAUGUAGUGGAGAGCAGUCAUGCCCAGCAUCAGCAGGGGCGAAAUCUAGAUUUUCCUCAAGGCUCCUGGAUUCAUUCUUCGGUUGCUAUGACUGAAAUGUGGGAAUUAAGGCACAUCCUUACAGCUGAACAAGACUGACAUCAUUAGGAGUUCAGACUUUGCUGCUGCUGGCAAAACAAUGUCUUCGCUGGAAUAAUCGUGGCCCCUUGAAAAAAGAACCCUAAGGAAGAUUCAUGGAAAGAAAAAAUUUGCUGUGAGCUUCUCCCCAUCACUCCUGAACGGCAGAUACCAAAAAGAACCUGUUCUUUCCCACUGGGAACCCUAAAGGGUGGCUCCAGAAGUUUUGGUGGAAAAAAAUGACAUUUCUCUAUUCCUUUGCUCACCAAAACCUGACAUUGGUCUGCGUUUAAGUGAGUGUGAUGAAGAAAUACCUAUUAAAUUGGAAAGGCUUCCUCCAGCCAGCUUGGAAAUCCUGAACUGUUCGCUCACAGCUAUUUCUAUGACAAUUAUUUCCCUGCUGUCCACAGCCAUAAAUAUGGAUAAGCUAAUUGCCUGUAAACCAUCAACAUUUAAGAACUGCGUUUUCAGGACAGCUGGACCACUGGAAGAUUUUGAAAUAUAACCGGAAGCAAAGCAGCUAAACUUGAGGAAUCCUCUGCACAUAAAUUGUGGGAGGAACCCAUCAGUGGCGGGAAGGAACAUGGCACCGAACAGAAUUUAUCAGAGAUUUCAAGAGGAAAAAGUCUGCCCGUGAUAUUUUAAUGGGACAUACAUGCAGCAAUGGAAAAUUUGGAGGAGAGGGAGCUGUCUCAACCAUGAAGCAACCAGAUCGCUUCCUCAGCAGCCCACUUCACCCAAUCCGAAGAAAAAAAUGGGAACUUGGCUGCUGGUGACGUGCUAAAUUCAGGAGCCUAAGCCCCGUUAUGCUCCUAUGGCAAGCCCAAGGUCUGUAUUCCUUGCACACCCACAGGUAAAAUCCUUGUUGGUAUUAAGUUUUUGCAGAUGAAUUUAAUGCUUGAUGGGCAUAUAGCAGGUAAGCAUUAGGUGCCACGUCACAUCAUAUUGCAGGGAUUUUCCUUCCAUCUGAUUUCUUCAAGCAACCCGUCCAUGAACUGAGAUUCGAGAGCUAAAAGGCAUGCUCAGCUGUCAGCUUUUAGCCUGGCUCCGUGCACAUGUUGCUCCAACUCUCAAUUAUUUGCUAAUCUAGAAGACCUACGAAGGAGGUGGAUCUGACCUUUGAAAAUAAUCCUCUUAAACGGGACUGUGAAGACGGGAUGUGAACUCGACUUCCUUGACCCGACUUCAUCAGCGAACGCUGAUUCAUUGAAAUUGAAGCGUUUUGCUGAAAAUAGAGCAGUUUCGAUGGAAAUUUCCCUGAUUCCCAGGCAGGAGCCUGGGGGAACUGGCUGCUUUUAGAGCAGCUCUGCUCUCCCUCACUCCAAGACACCCACACCUUGCAGGUAGAUCCUUCCUGAGCAAACCAGCUUCAGUGGGAACUGCCCUUUAAUUUUGCUAACCCUUUAAUUUUGCUAACCCUUUCUCCGUAUGGCUACUGCAUGAUUAUUUUAACACUUUCUCUGUAGAGUCUCACCCCGGAUUCUUCUAACAAACGCCCUGUAACUCGUGUGACCUUUCCUAGCGAUACAUCACCGGUGACUGUAUUAAUGAUAUUUUAUCGGCAGGGAGAGAUUUAGCAUGGCAGGCUGUCUGCAGAAUUUAGUGCAGGGUGCUUUCCGUCCAAGUAAAUGGCAAGACUGGACCCAAAUUAUGCCCACGUACACACGGAAUAUAUGAGAAAUCUUAAAGGCAUUUGGAUUCAUUCAGGGAAGGCGAACCCUGCCCUGAUUAAAGUGCAAUAAAGCAGCAAUUACUGUUGCCACUCCUUGGAGAGGGGAAAAAGUCUUGGCUCUAAGAGCGGGUUUAGAGCAAAAUUGACCAGUUGUGAGUUAGUUGCCAAGAGCUGGGUCUGAAAUCAACCCCUGUCCGUGCUGUGCCUUUCUGCCUCUCCCCUUUUCUCUCUCAAAGAGGCCUUCAAGGCUGGCAAAGAGCAGGACCUGACCAGUCCCCUAAUCAAAUCAGUGAGCACAGAAAAGGUCAGAGCUGUUGCGGGAGAGCGUUGGCUUUCACAGGCUGUCACCGAAGGAGCCACAGAACAUCACCUAGGAGCUCCUGGAACAUUACAGAGGGAAUUCAGCCCAAAUCUGAGAGGGAAAUCUGAAUCGCCUCUUCACUCCGGGUGCUGCCGGGUGGUGUUUGUUCCUUCCUGACUAUUUUUCAAAAACCUCUGUUGAAAUUAAAGCCGCCUGGCUCUUUUCCACAAGCUGCUGGGAUCACCAAAUGUCCAUCCCGGGCUACCCGGCUUCCACCUUCUUGGGGUGGAAGCUUUUAUCAGACGGCUUGUGGAUAAUAUCGAGGGCUGGAGUGGCUCCUCGUAGCCUGUUAGCCUGCACUAACAUUUUUCUCCAUCAACAGCUUCUUGACUAGGCUGUGACUUGAAUUUCAAAGAGCCCGGUGACUGUGCUGUUUGCUUUGCCGAGAUGGUUUUAUUAGCGCUGCAGGAUAAGGGGUAGGAUCUUCAGAGGAAUUUUUUUUGCCAUCCAGUCUGGACAAGUGGAGCUGAUCGAGGAACGAGCACUUCUGGGCUCCCUCGUUUGCUGUUCGGAGUCCUGAGGUUCAGUUCAUUUGUCAAGUUUGAAUUACCAAAGAUGUUUUUCCUGUCAUUUCGACAUAAUUUUGCUAUUGCAGGCAGCUCCAUCUCUCCCUGACUUCUUCUUUCCCCUGCAAAUAGCCCUGGGAGGACAGGUCCCAGCCCCUUGCUUGGGUUUUUUUCUGCAAGACCAAGAGAUGAGAUCUGUGGAGAGAGCUCACCGUGUGAUGUGGUAGGGCUCUGGAGCACCACGUUUAAUUUUAGCCCGGAUCCAUCCCUUCCUUUCUCAAACAACAAGAUUUUAAGUUCCUCUCCCCUCAGUGUCUUUGAUCUCUUAACAUCUGCCCGGGAGAAAAGGGGUGAAAAAGCAAUUUGCUACACACGCCCAGGCUUUGAAAAAAAACACACACAUUGCAUUUGGGAUUUAUUCAAAUAAACCACAACAUCAGAAAUAAAUGUAAGGCUCCGGAAUUCACUUUGCAUGAUUAAUACUUUUGAAUAUUUCCGUUUAACUUCCCAAGAAAUGAGAACCUUUAGUUUCCUGCUCGAUAGCCGCUGCGCGAUGAAAGAUGCUGAAAUUGGAUGUUACAGGUCAUGGAAUUGUAUUUAUGUACCCAUUUCAUGCUUCAGAAAGCCGCCCGCUUCAAAUGUAAGCCUUGAUUAGGGGAAAAUGCUGCCUAUCAAAAUAAAUAAAUAAAGGGGCUGCUCUUCUUCUCCCUGGCAGAGACGUGGACGUGGAGGCAAAGGAGGAGAGGGAGCAUCUAAAUGCCAGCUGGGGUCUUUAAUUUAUCCCCAUUGCCACUGCUGCUACAAACUUUUACAGAGGCUGAGCCUUUUGGGGAUGAUUUUAGGGCUCUGUAAGGAUGCGUGGUGCUUGUGAAAUGGGAUGGAGAAAUAUCUGACUUUCUGUCAAACCUCUGUGAAGUAUUUCCUAGGGUCCGGGUUGGCAGCACGUCGCCGUAAUAUCGGCCAUGUCUUCGUUCGAUCACACUUGCUGUGCUUUUUUUCCCCAAUUUUGCGUGAUUUCAGGUUCCUGAAAAUUCAUUUGGAGCAAGAAUGUCAAACCAGGUGGUUAUUUCAGCAUUAAAAUGCAUCGGGCAAAAUCACGCCACUUUUGAGGCAUGAUCACCUUUACUUUAAAACUUAUUUUUGUCUUAGGAACAACAUCUUUGGAAACGAUCGCAUACAAAGGCCUUAAAGGGAGGUAAAAAAUGCUAAAAUACAAAAUCAGCCGAAAACUUAACAGCAAUACUUCACAGCUUGCUCGUCGGCAUAUGGAUGAGGAGGAACAAUGUGUGAAGAGCCUGGCUCAUUCUUUCCAGAAGAGGUUUACCCAGAGAGACCCGCCAGCACCGUCCGGAAUCCCUAAUGCAAUCAGCAUCCUCAGCCCUGCCUUUCAGCCUGCUUCUGGAAGUGGGAUAAACUCAGAAAGCAAAUUUUUUUCCCUCUGAUAGCAGUCUGAAACUCUCCUUUAGAAGGAUCCCAGCACUAUUCAGUGACUGUGGAUUGAGUUUUCCUGGCUGGUGUCCCCUGUGUCCUGUGAUGCUCAAGGUCUGGCUUUGCUGGGAGGUGCUGGUGCUGGUGCCAGGGGAGCUUUUUGCCAAAAAACAUGGAUUUUAAUGUGAGAGGUUUCUUUUAAUGUUCCUUUCUCUUCUGAAAAUGGUAAGGGCUCUGAAGAAAAACGAUGCCACACAGUGUUGAAACGGGAAAAAAAAUGACUUCUGUAUCUACUUGGGUUAUGCAUCUGCUAUUAUUCACCACGUAGCUGCAUCACCGCCUCAUCUUGCCCAAAAGAGGCAUCUACCGCCUCUCUGAUUCAUUUCUGAAUCAAAAAUCACUUAUAAAAAAGAAAAGAAGGGAUAUAACAAGGGCGUUCAGAAUAGGAAACAAAGCCUAGCAAGAACCUCCCCUUGAAAUUAUGAGAAUUCCUCUCCUUUUAGGUAACAGAAACAGUCCCAUUGGUGUCCCAAGGCUGGAAACCUCAAAGAAAUGACAAAUUCCAAAUCUCCAGGCAGGGAUGAGCAAGAAAGAUAUUUUUUGCAAUAAUUUAGAGCCCUGUUUAAUAAGCAUCUUGCCAAAAAUCUUGUAUUCAAGGGGCGAACAUGCUGUGAUGGAAAGGGAAAAGGUGAUUUCUUGCUUCUUACUGUGCUCGUCCUUGUGGCUCGCUUUUGUCCUUGCUUUGUCCUUUGGCCUGCUCAGGCUGUGUUUCAGAAGUCCACGAGCAUUUCCAUCCCAAACUAUUGGAAGAAGGUAUAGGAGAUGGGGUUUCUUGUUAUUUUUGAGACACGGAUAGCAACCCUGAGGCUACCCCUCCACUCCUGAAGUCAAAAAGGUAUUUAUUUCCAAACUGAAAACAUGAUUUUAUUUUUUUUUUAUAUGAUCUCAGUGACCUCUGACCAGCACGAGUGGCUGAAGGACGGAUUCAUUUCCGAGCUACUUCUUUAUGAGCGAUUGAGAGAGCAUGGGAAGCACCGUGCAGGAAUGAAAAUGCUUGGCGUUGGAGGAAGCACAAGAAGGUUACAAGAAAAAGAACAUAUUUUUAUAUUAAGGACAUAUUUUUAUAUUAAAAUUAGGGGCACUGCACAGGUGCUGAUCCUGGUGAUAAACCACAGAGCCCUGGGUGCCCGCGUGUGGAUUAUCGUGGUGGUGGUUAUUCAAAAAAAGGCCUCACCUCCUGCAUCACCAAAAAUUCUUUGCCUUGCCCAUCACCUUCACCUAUUAAUAUUUCCAGCGCCUACCAAAAAGUUAGAGUAACUCCACCGUCACUUAGGAAAUUAAUUAACUGCUUAUUGUUAUUAACAAUUUCUAUGUUGGUCGAGUCUCGGAGCUUGACUGGGACCGUGGAUUAAUUCUCCAUCACGUUAAGUACACGGGGAAACGAUGGUGCUGUCACGAGGAAUUUAUAGUUUGGAUCAUCUGAGCAUGCAUUGUACUCUAAAGCCAUUUUUCAGUUGUGCCCUUCGUUACUGCUCAAUAAGAGGCAUUUAAGAGCAAUAACAGCCCAUCGCCAGGAACAAAGUUAAUAGGGGCGAUGAAUGAUCUUCUGAUUGCAUCUUCUGAAUUUAUGAUGUGGAAGAAACUCUCCGCCGAAGCAUGUCAAUAGAGAUGACAUGUUUUCCUUCCAAAUGCCACCCGCAGUAGUUCCGCACCUUCCAGAGCUGUGUGGACACCGAAAAAUGCAGCUGGGUGCUUGAGUGAUGCGUGCGAUUGUCAGGCUGCGCUUCUUGGGCAAACCCAUUACAGCAAAUCCACAGGACGGCACCAAAAAUGAUGAAUGGAUGAGCUGCUUAUUUAUGAGCCAAGUGCACCAGAAGAUAAAUAUCCGCGUGGUAGCUUGAUUAAAUGGUGUCUAAACAGUGUAAGUGGAAGAUGAUGUAUCUCCGGAAGGAGGGGCUGCAUGGAAAUGAAGAGGUGAUAUUGUCUUCGGUGUAGCGUUUAGAGGGACAAUAAAUGGAUGUGGUGCUGGGCUCUGUGUGACGAGGAAGUGGAAAUGAAGUAGCGUGGAGUAGUUGCUUUCUGAGUGGCACUGUGUCCUUUAUGAUCUGGGAAGGGAUGGACUAGCAUGAAAUGGUUGUGUCCCCUUCCUUCCCCCGUGGUAGAGCAAAUCGGAGAUGUUUGGGGCUCUGCCACUUUACAGGGAUUACGGUAGGUGAUGUGAAGACUUAAAAGGCUGAGUCAUGGCUAGUCAAGUCAUGGAUAACUUGUCUUUCAAAAUACUGAAACGUGGAUUAACCAAAGAACUGUGGUUUGCACUAUAUAAAAUACGUACUGCCCUUGCCUCCUAACUAAAUGUUUAUUUUCUCCUCUCCUUUCCACUGAGUAGGUUGGUCUUGAUCACGAGACUGCUAAUAAAAAACCUGCGGCAGCUUGAAGGCAUGAACAAGGUGCUCAUAGAUGGCUCAGGAAUUUAAAAAGAGAACAAAAACUUGAAA